CUGCCCACUAGCGAUUCGUCGAUGGUAAUUUUGCCUUGAUGAGGAGCUAAUCGGAAACGAAAGUCUUCCGGUUCCGGGGGAAGUAUGGUUGCAAAGCUGAAACUUAAAGAAAUUGACGGAAGGGCACCACCAGGAGUGGAGCCUGCGGCUUAAUUUGACUCAACACGGGGAAAACUCACCCGGCCCGGACACUGUAAGGAUUGACAGAUUGAAAGCUCUUUCUUGAUUCGGUGGAUGGUGGUGCAUGGCCGUA
rnacentral:rRNA from 1 species